rnacentral:tRNA from 1 species
GGUUGUGGCUCAGUGGUAGAGUGCUUGCCUAGCAUGCACAAAGCACAGGGUUCAAUCCCCAGAACCA